rnacentral:ncRNA from 10 species
AACGGGUUUGCCUGCUGACGGAACGUUGUGGAGCACCACAGUGCAGACAAAACCGGGUUUUGUUACGCCGACCGUCUGGGCAGCCUUG